UUUCCGAUUUUUCGCUUGACCGUUCCGAACGUGGAAUCUCUGUACCUUUGAAUUUUUUGCUUAAUAAAUUAAUACCUGCGUUCAACAUGAGCUCCAAAUCCUUUUUCGUCGAGGAUGAUGCUGAGCAGUCGAACAAAUUGUCCAGGAAGGCCAAGGAAUCGCCGUUUAUGUUAGUGGGCAUUGCGGGAUUCGUGGCGGCGGGACUGAUUGGAGCCUACAAGUACAAGCAUCGUGGCACCAUGAGCACCAGCGUAUUCCUGAUGCAGCUCCGUGUGGCGGCCCAAGGCACCGUCGUGGGAUGUCUGACAGCGGGACUUGCGUACACAAUGGCCAAGGAGUACCUGUUCGAGAAGGAACCCAAGGAAAAGUAAUGCUAGCCUCCACCCACUUAGUUAAUCGUAAAUGUAGUUUUAGUUGAUGUAUUUUUUCCAAGCCACUGACUAACUAAAGAACCUUUCUGAUUGUGCGGGCACUCCAAAAACCCUUCAAACAUCUGUGGACAACUAAAACCCUUGGCCAGCACCUUAUCCUAUUCCUAAGCGAUUUGUAACUCUAUUUAUUGCAUCAUCAUAAGAUUCACUCUGACCGAUUGACGAUGGCUCUCCAUCGGGAGGCCAGUAGCCUUUGCUGCGUCUCCUGGUGCACGUUGUCCCCGAUAAAUGUAACUAGCUAAAUGUCUUGUAUACCUGCGUAAGAUUGUGAUAAUGUUUGUUUAAUUGUACGACAGUCAAAACGAACACGAACACCCUGUCGCUCCACAGGCGACAGACGAAAAUAUGAAUACCUCUCGCAUGAUAUAAUAUGAUUAAAUAAAACAAAAUAGAAUGUAUGCAAAAGUAAAA